AGCUCCAGUAGCGUAUAUUAAAGUUGUUGCAGUUAAAAAGCUCGUAGUUGGAUUUCUGGUUUUAGUCGCCCGUCCCACCGGCGUUAGUCGUGUGUGUGUCGUUGGUGUUUACUUGACCAUCUGCUCAUCUCGCCAGUCGUACCCUUAAUUGGGCCGCGGUUCUGUGCGGUUGAGCCAUUUACUUUGAAAAAAUUAGAGUGUUUAAGGCAGGCAAUUGCUGUGAAUACAUUAGCAUGGAAUAAUAACAUAGGACUUUUGUUCUAUUUUGUUGGUUUCCUGAACGGAAGUAAUGAUUGAUAGGGACAGUUGGGGGUGCUAGUAUUCCGUGGCCAGAGGUGAAAUUCUUGGAUUCACGGAAGACUAACUUAUGCGAAAGCAUUCACCAAGGAUGUCUUCUUUA
rnacentral:rRNA from 1 species